AGACGUCUACAUUAGACUACCCGGUAGUCCCAGCCGUAAACUAUGCGCGUUAGGUGUAUCGGUGACCACGAGUCACCGAGGUGCCGAAGGGAAACCGUGAAACGUGCCGCCUGGGAAGUACGGUCGCAAGGCUGAAACUUAAAGGAAUUGGCGGGGAGCACCACAACGGGUGGAGCCUGCGGUUUAAUUGGACUCAACGCCGGGAAGCUCACCGGAUAAGACAGCGGAAUGAUUGCCGGGCUGAAGACUCUGCAUGACUAGCUG
rnacentral:rRNA from 1 species